AUUGAACGCUGGCGGCAUGCUUUACACAUGCAAGUCGAACGGCAACAGGCCGCAAGGUUCCGCCGAGUGGCGAACGGUUGCGUAAUGCAUCGGAACGCGCCCAGUCGUGGUGGUUAACUACGCGAAAGAUUAGCUAAUACCGCAUACGACCUCUGGAUGAAUACGGGUGACAGUAAGGCCUCGCUCGACUUGACCCGCCGAUGUCAGAUUAGGUAGUUGGUGGGGUAAAGGCUCACCAAGACAACGAUCCGUAGCUGGUCUGAGAGGACGACCAGCCACACUGGAACUGAGACACGGCCCAGACUCCUACGGGAGGCAGCAGUGGGGAAUUUUGGACAAUGGGCGCAAGCCUGAUCCAGCAAUGCCGCGUGCAGGAAGAAGGCCUUCGGGUUGUAAAGUGCUUUUGUAGGGAAAGAAACGGAUCUGAUUAAUACCCGGGGCUAAUGACGGUACCGAAAGAAUAAGCACCGGCUAACUACGUG
rnacentral:rRNA from 1 species